CUGCAUAGGAGAGGCAAUACGUGGUGCUC
rnacentral:piRNA from 1 species